AUUCUUUCUCCAUCCUGCAACAUUAUGUGCUUACUUCCAUCGUUCAACAACAAAUCUACCUCCUGUUUCAAUGAAACCAAAGGAAAAAUAAUUCUGAUGAAGUCAAAGCAUGGUAAGAAAAAAUUUGUAAACCUUAGCAAAGUGAGGAUAUGAUAGGGAUGUGGAGAGAGCCGGGAGAAUUCUAGAGAAUUACAGAAGAAUUUCUAACAGAAAGGAUGAGCUGCUGGGAGCAUGUGAUGACAGCU
rnacentral:misc_RNA from 1 species